GUGAAUCAUCAAAUUUUUGAACGCAUAUUGCACUGUCUGGUAUUCCGGAGAGUAUGCCUAUUUGAGUAUCAUUUGGAUUACUAUAAAUUCCUAGAUUUCUCGGACUUUAAAAUGGGUUGUCCAUUUUUUGUGAUCGCCUAAAAUCCAAGACAAGCUCAUUGUCUUGGGUUGCGUGAUACUUUCAGUUACCUCGUGACUUAACCAGGAAUCAUCGGGCUUGUUAUGUAUUUCGCAAGA
rnacentral:misc_RNA from 1 species